AUUGAACGCUGGCGGCAGGCCUAACACAUGCAAGUCGAGCGAGCGGCGGACGGGUGAGUAAUGUAUGGGGACUGCCCGAUAGAGGGGGAUAACUACUGGAAACGGUAGCUAAUACCGCAUACUAUCGGAUAACCCAUAUGGGAUUAGCUAGUAGGUGAGGUAAUGUCUCACCUAGGCGACGAUCCCUAGCUGGUCUGAGAGGGUGAUCGGCCACCCUGGGACGGUGACACGGCCCAGACUCCUACGGAGGCAGCAGUGGGAAAUAUUGGCCAAUGGUCGCAAGCCUGACGCAGCAAUGCCGGGUGUGUGACGAGGGCCCUCGGGUUGUAAAGUACUGUCAGUCGGGAGGCGUUACCGACAGAGGAAGCACCGGCUAACUCCGUGCCAGCAGCCGCGGUAAUUC
rnacentral:rRNA from 1 species